rnacentral:rRNA from 2 species
AGAUGGAUUUGUGCCUUCGGGAACUGUGAGACAGGUGCUGCAUGGCUGUCGUCAGCUCGUGUUGUGAAAUGUUGGGUUAAGUCCCGCAACGAGCGCAACCCUUAUCCUUUGUUGCCAGCGGUCCGGCCGGGAACUCAAAGGAGACUGCCAGUGAUAAACUGGAGGAAGGUGGGGAUGACGUCAAGUCAUCAUGGCCCUUACGACCAGGGCUACACACGUGCUACAAUGGCGCAUACAAAGAGAAGCGACCUCGCGAGAGCAAGCGGACCUCAUAAAGUGCGUCGUAGUCCGGAUUGGAGUCUGCAACUCGACUCCAUGAAGUCGGAAUCGCUAGUAAUCGUGGAUCAGAAUGCCACGGUGAAUACGUUCCCGGGCCUUGUACACACCGCCCGUCACACCAUGGGAGUGGGUUGCAAAAGAAGUAGGUAGCUUAACCUUCGGGAGGGCGCUUACCACUUUGUGAUUCAUGACUGGGGUGAAGUCGUAACAAGGUAACCGUAGGGGAACCUGC